ACCCCAGGAACCUCGUGCUUCUAGGUAAUGAAUCUCCCACCACAGCUCCACUGGAUGGAACCGCCCCAGCUUCCUCCAGCCCAAACUGCUGCACCCACCACCCAGAGAAAUGGAAGUCAAGGACUCAGCAGUCCAAGGCAGCCCUUCUGAAGCAACUUCAGGGGCUCAGCAAAUAUUUGUUGAGAACCUCCUCUGUGCCUGGCUGGAUCAGGGUGGGGCUGUAGAGCUGCACAUCAUAGUCUGCAUCCGGGUCAGCCCUGAAUCUCAGGCACUGGAAGGUUACCCUGAUGGGCAGGACCCACUCCCAUCACUAAGAGAACAUCAAAAGGGCAGGUGUGGGGGUGGAUAGGAAGAUCAGGAUCUCUGAAAGGAAAUUUGCAUUGUGGUAACCUACAGACUCCACCUGGACCCAUGAUUCAUGACUCAACCAGUCCACCCAGAAGCUGACUCAGAGCAUAAGGAGCAUUUUCCACACCCCUAGGAUUUCAUCUCCAACCAAUCAGCAUUCCCCAUUCUCUAGCCCCUGUCCACCAAACUAUUCUUUAAAAACCUUAGCUCUAAGCUUUAUUUAUUUAUUUAAGUAAUACACUCCUGUCUUCCACUUAGCUGGUUCUGUAUUUAUUAAACUCUUUCUCUACUGCCAUACCGCUAUCUCAGUAAAUUAGCUCUAUCUGUGCAGUUGGCAAGAAGAACUGGUCAGGUGGUUAAAACACUACAGAUAGGCAUUGUUAAACAAAACAAUGGACUAAGCCCCUGCACUAGGCUCCAACAGAACAGACAAAAUCAAAAUGGAGUCACUCAUGCUAAAUGUCAUAUAAUCAAACUGAAACUCUAAGGAAGCUGAUAAAUCCUAAAACAGACCUUUUUUUUUCCUGAAAACAGGAAAUUUCAGUCUACCAGAGUCAACCUAGUAAGAAAGUUGCCUCUUCUUUGACCUUUAUGAGAAAGUAACCUGAAGUAACCUGACAUUAAUGAAUCAGCUUCUCUUCUACUAUUCUGUUUCCUUACUCCCACCUUACAAAGCUCACUGCUCUGCUUGCCCUAGUGAGAGAACUCAUUCUAUUGUGUAGAGUAGAGUCAGCCAUGAUUCAUGAAUUAUGAAUAAAAGACAAUUAGAUCUAUAACUAAGUUUGCUGUAAUUUUAUCUUUUGACAGCACUAUUGAUAUGGUUUGGAUGUUUGUCCCCUCCAAAUCUCAUAUUGAAAUGUAAUCCCCAGUGUUGAAGUUGGGGCCAAGUAGGAGUGGUGUGGGUCAUAGGGGCAGAUCCCUCAUGAAUGGCUUCGUGCCCUCCCUCACAGGAAUGAGUAGUUCCCACUCUACUAUUCAUGCAAGAGUUGGUUGUUUAGAAGAGGCCCGGCAUCUCUCUUGCUCUCUCUCUCUCACUAUGUGACACGCUGGCUCCCUUCCC
rnacentral:lncRNA from 1 species